rnacentral:rRNA from 1 species
UACGGAGGGUGCAAGCGUUAUCCGGAUUCACUGGGUUUAAAGGGUGCGUAGGUGGGUUGGUAAGUCAGUGGUGAAAUCUCCAGGCUUAACUUGGAAACUGCCAUUGAUACUAUCAAUCUUGAAUACCGUGGAGGUCAGCGGAAUAUGUCAUGUAGCGGUGAAAUGCUUAGAUAUGACAUAGAACACCAAUUGCGAAGGCAGCUGGCUACACGAGCAUUGACACUGAUGCACGAAAGCGUGGGGAUCAAACAGGAGU